UCCUUGAUUUAGCGGCGGACGGGUGAGUAAUGCCUAGGAAUCUGCCUGGUAGUGGGGGAUAACGUUCCGAAAGGAACGCUAAUACCGCAUACGUCCUACGGAAGAAAGCAGGGGACCUUCGGGCCUUGCGCUAUCAGAUGAGCCUAGGUCGGAUUAGCUAGUUGGUGAGGUAAUGGCUCACCAAGGCGACGAUCCGUAACUGGCCUGAGAGGAUGAUCAGUCACACUGGAACUGAGACACGGUCCAGACUCCUACGGGAGGCAGCAUUGUGGAAUAUUGUACAAUGGGCGAGAGCCUGAUCCAGCCAUGCCGCGUGUGUGAAGAAGGUCUUCGGAUUGUAAAGCACUUUAAGUUGGCAGGAAGGGCAGU
rnacentral:rRNA from 1 species